CACAGUCCUGCCAGAGAGAGAAGAGGUCUCCAGGGAGCCAGCAGACUGCAGCUGCAUGGAAGCCUUCCCAGGAAGGAUAUGGCCACCAUGCAGAGAGAGUUUGAAGUGAUUCCUGAAUGCAGGCCACAGAAGGAAAGAAAUAAAAGGUUUCCUACCUCAACAAGAGCUGGGCAUGAAGAAAUUCUCUGACCUGUCUUAUCUAACGUUCAAACACAAGCUCCGGUUCCCGUGUGCUCUCCUUUGUGUGUAUUCUCAGAAAUGUGUUCCCUGCUGGGGUGCAGACCAUGGAGUCCAUUCACUUAAGAGAGCCCAUUCUCUUCAACUACUCUCCAACCCAACGAUGGGACCUGACUGAGCCAUUCACCACACAUUGGCUUUGGAAGACUGUGUCUGCACGUGAACACCACUCUUCUUACCCUCUCCCACAUUCACGGAAACCUUUCUUUUCAUGGAAUUCAUAAAAACAUGCAUCGUGCCAAUUCAAAUCUUCUAGUCCCUUCUAUUGAAAUCUGUUAUGAAGAGCAGAAUAAAGAACCAAAGCAGCUACAGGGCUGGGGAUUUAGCUCAGUGGUUCCACCCCCUGCCUUGCAAGCACAA